rnacentral:rRNA from 1 species
CUCUGUGACUCCUACGGGAGGCAGCAGUGGGGAAUAUUGCACAAUGGGGGAAACCCUGAUGCAGCCAUGCCGCGUGUGUGAAGAAGGCCUUCGGGUUGUAAAGCACUUUCAGUAGGGAGGAAGGUAGUGUAGUUAACACCUGCAUUAUUUGACGUUACCUACAGAAGAAGCACCGGCUAACUCCGUGCCAGCAGCCGCGGUAAUACGGAGGGUGCGAGCGUUAAUCGGAAUUACUGGGCGUAAAGCGCAUGCAGGUGGUUUGUUAAGUCAGAUGUGAAAGCCCGGGGCUCAACCUCGGAACUGCAUUUGAAACUGGCAGACUAGAGUCUUGUAGAGGGGGUAGAAUUUCAGGUGUAGCGGUGAAAUGCGUAGAGAUCUGAAGGAAUACCAGUGGCGAAGGCGGCCCCCUGGACAAAGACUGACGCUCAGAUGCGAAAGCGUGGGGAGCAAACAGGAUUAGAUACCCUGGUAG